rnacentral:rRNA from 1 species
CCUACGGGAGGCAGCAGUGAGGAAUAUUGGUCAAUGGACGCAAGUCUGAACCAGCCAUGCCGCGUGCAGGAAGACGGCUCUAUGAGUUGUAAACUGCUUUUGUACGAGGGUAAACGCAGAUACGCGUAUCUGUCUGAAAGUAUCGUACGAAUAAGGCUCGGCUAACUCCGUGCCAGCAGCCGCGGUAAUACGGAGGAUUCAAGCGUUAUCCGGAUUUAUUGGGUUUAAAGGGUGCGUAGGCGGUCGGAUAAGUUAGAGGUGAAAUCCCGAGGCUCAACUUCGGAAUUGCCUCUGAUACUGUUCGGCGAGAGAGUAGUUGCGGUAGGCGGAAUGUAUGGUGUAGCGGUGAAAUGCUUAGAGAUCAUACAGAACACCGAUUGCGAAGGCAGCUUACCAAGCUACUUCUGACGUUGAGGCACGAAAGCGUGGGGAGCAAACAGGAUUAGAUACCCGGGUAGUC